AGAGUUUGAUCCUGGCUCAGAACUAACGCUGGCGGCGCGUCUUAAACAUGCAAGUCGAACGGUAAGGCUCCUUCGGGAGUACGCGAGUGGCGAACGGGUGAGAACACGUAGGUAUCUGCCCUAAAGAGGGGGAUAACAUCGGGAAACUGGUGCUAAUACCCCAUAGUCCCUUUUUCUUUCUGAAGAAUGGGUAAAGAAUGAUUACAUUCGCUUUGGGAUGAGCCUGCGGCCUAUCAGCUUGUUGGCGGGGUAAUGGCCCACCAAGGCUAUAACGGGUAGCCGGCCUGAGAGGGUGAACGGUCACACUGGAACUGAGACACGGUCCAGACUCCUACGGGAGGCAGCAGUUAAGAAUAUUGGACAAUGGGCGAAAGCCUGAUCCAGCGACGCCGCGUGAACGAUGAAGGCCUUCGGGUUGUAAAGUUCAGUAAGAUAGGAAGAAUAAGUGCGGUCCAACAGGCCGCAUGAUGACGGUACUAUCCUAUAGCCCCGGCUAAUUACGUGCCAGCAGCCGCGGUAAUACGUAAGGGGCAAGCGUUGUUCGGAAUUAUUGGGCGUAAAGGGCACGCAGGCGGAUUAUUAAGUUGGAUGUAUAAUCUUCAGGCUCAACCUGAAGCCCGCAUCCAAAACUGGUAAACUAGAGUCCUGGAGAGGAAAGCGGAAUUCUCGGUGUAGCGGUGGAAUGCGUAGAUAUCGAGAAGAACACCAAGGGCGAAGGCAGCUUUCUGGACAGUGACUGACGCUCAUGUGCGAAAGCGUGGGUAGCAAACAGGAUUAGAUACCCUGGUAGUCCACGCCGUAAACUUUGUACACUAGGUGAUGGGGGUUUCAACGCCUUCGUUGCCGCAGCUAACGCAUUAAGUGUACCGCCUGGGGAGUACGCUCGCAAGGGUGAAACUCAAAGGAAUUGACGGGGGCCCGCACAAGCGGUGGAGCAUGUGGUUUAAUUCGACGAUACGCGAAGAACCUUACCCGGGUUUGACAUUCACUGGACUGGCGUAGAGAUACGCCUUCCUUUAUGGCCAGUGAACAGGUGUUGCAUGGUUGUCGUCAGCUCGUGUUGUGAGAUGUUGGGUUAAGUCCCGCAACGAGCGCAACCCUUACCUCCUGUUGCUACCAAGCAAUUGGGCACUCUGGAGGAACUGCCGGUGACAAACCGGAGGAAGGUGGGGAUGACGUCAAAUCAGCAUGGCCCUUACGUCCGGGGCUACACACGUGCUACAAUGGCUGGUACAAAGGAAUGCGAAUCCGCGAGGUGGAGCAAAUCCCAAAAAAAACCAGUCCCAGUUCGGAUUGCAGUCUGCAACUCGACUGCAUGAAGUCGGAAUCGCUAGUAAUCGCGAAUCAGCAAUGUCGCGGUGAAUACGUUCCCGGGCCUUGUACACACCGCCCGUCACACCACCCGAGUUGGCGGCACCUGAAGCGGCUGAGCUAGCCUGAUUUCUUCACGGAAAUCUGGAGGCAGGUCACCAAGGUGAAGUUGGCGAGGGG
rnacentral:rRNA from 1 species